CUUCGCACGCGAUGCCGGAAGCGAGACAAUACAAUUGCGCCUCGCGGCGCUCCAUCUCCCCUCGGGAUUUUCGAGGGUGAGCCGAAACCCAACCCGCGCCAUCGGCGCGCGGGGACGCAUCUCUAUGCGCGCUGUUUGAAAUUUAAAUCUGAAAGGACGUCAUUGGUCGCUGAACGCACCCGCAUAUUCAAUGUCAUGGCCGGGCUUGUCCCGGCCAUCCCGAUAACGAAGGCACCGUG
rnacentral:misc_RNA from 1 species